AUUGAACGCUGGCGGCAGGCCUAACACAUGCAAGUCGAACGGUAACAGGAAGCAGCUUGCUGCUUCGCUGACGAGUGGCGGACGGGUGAGUAAUGUCUGGGAAGCUGCCUGAUGGAGGGGGAUAACUACUGGAAACGGUAGCUAAUACCGCAUAAUGUCGCAAGACCAAAGAGGGGGACCUUCGGGCCUCUUGCCAUCGGAUGUGCCCAGAUGGGAUUAGCUUGUUGGUGGGGUAACGGCUCACCAAGGCGACGAUCCCUAGCUGGUCUGAGAGGAUGACCAGCCACACUGGAACUGAGACACGGUCCAGACUCCUACGGGAGGCAGCAGUGGUGAAUAUUGCACAAUGGGCGCAAGCCUGAUGCAGCCAUGCCGCGUGUAUGAAGAAGGCCUUCGGGUUGUAAAGUACUUUCAGCGGGGAGGAAGGGAGUAAAGUUAAUACCUUUGCUCAUUGACGUUACCCGCAGAAGAAGCACCGGCUAACUCCGUG
rnacentral:rRNA from 1 species